UUUUAAUAGUGAACUGUCUAGUAUCUGAUAUUUCAUUUGUAUAUUGAUUGGCAAGUCACUACAAGAAAAUUCAUUUGUAUAUUGAUCUUCAUCUACAACUGUGAGCCAAACAACAAACUACUACAUGAAUACUGAACAAGAGAAGUAAAACACCAUUGCCAAGAAAGCCAACAUUGAGACCUUGAAACAUGAUGUGAAGAAGUGGAAAUGGCAAGCAUCCAUACACUGAUACACUCCAUCUUAUGACAAAGUUAACUUCAAAGAAACCCCCACGCGCGUCUCUCUCUCUCUCUCUC
rnacentral:misc_RNA from 1 species